rnacentral:piRNA from 1 species
UGCAAGAAAAACUUGGAAUGGUGAGC